AGCGAACGCUGGCGGCAGGCCUAACACAUGCAAGUCGAACGAACUCUUCGGAGUUAGUGGCGGACGGGUGAGUAACACGUGGGAACGUGCCUUUUGGUUCGGAAUAACUCAGGGAAACCUGUGCUAAUACCGAAUGUGCCCUUCGGGGGAAAGAUUUAUCGCCAUUAGAGCGGCCCGCGUCUGAUUAGCUAGUUGGUGAGGUAACGGCUCACCAAGGCGACGAUCAGUAGCUGGUCUGGGAGGAUGACCAGCCACACUGGGACUGAGACACGGCCCAGACUCCUACGGGAGGCAGCAGUGGGGAAUCUUGCGCAAUGGGCGAAAGCCUGACGCAGCCAUGCCGCGUGAAUGAUGAAGGUCUUAGGAUUGUAAAAUUCUUUCACCGGGGACGAUAAUGACGGUACCCGGAGAAGAAGCCCCGGCUAACUUCGUG
rnacentral:rRNA from 1 species